GGCUUGUUGAGUAUAAUUUCAGGUCUGACCUGCCCUAUGAGUUGAUUAAAUGGCCGCGGUAUUUUGACCGUGCAAAGGUAGCAUAAUCACUAGUUUUUUAAUUGAAAGCUUGAAUGAAAGGUUUGAUGAAAAAAUUUCUGUCUCUGGGAAGAUUUAUUAAAACUUUAUUUUUAAGUUAGAAAGCUUAAAUUUUUAUAGAAGACGAGAAGACCCUAUAGAGUUUUAUAUUUUUAUUAAAGGUUAAAUUUAAAGCAUGAAAAAUUUAAUUUUUUGUAAAAGAUAUUUUGUUGGGGUGAUAGGAAAAUUAAUAAAACUUUUCUUAAAUAAUUACAUUUAUGUGUGGGUUGAUGAUCCUAUAUAUUUAGAUUAAAAGAUUAAAUUACCUUAGGGAUAACAGCGUUAUUUUUUUUAGAGUUCUUAUCAAAAAAAAAGUUUGCGACCUCGAUGUUGGAUUAAAGUAAGUUGUUGGUGUAGAAGCUAACAAAUUAAGUCUGUUCGACUUUUAAGACUUUACAUGAUCUGAGUUUAAACCGGCGUGAG
rnacentral:rRNA from 1 species